CCACACACAAGCCAUUUAGUAGAAAAACUUCGAGCUCUCAACCUCCAGCAGUCUAGAGAGAGUUUGGGAGAGAAGGAGAGCUUAGAAAGAGUAGAGAAGAGGAGAGAAAUUUGGGAGAGUGAGCAAGAGCUCAAGAGCUAGUGAAAGAGGGGUAGUGCUGCGAGAAUUCAUAGAGAGAACUUAGUGGAAGUGAUGUCCAACUAGGGAUUAAGAAAUCUAAAAUCAAGGGGAGGUUCUGUCAAAAUUCAAAUUAGCAACUAGACUUAAUCUUGAAAGAACGACUGACCUCUAGAUGGCUAACCGCUAACCUUUGACUAACCCCCUUGCACUAGUGUUGUUUUUGUCUGUGAGAAUUUGUUGCACGAUGAAGAGCUGGGCAAAGGGAAUCGCCAACAAGGUCUUGAGAAGGACCAUGAGGAGCUCAUCCUGCUAUGCAUCGUCAAGGGCUGGCUCCAACAUGAGCACCGAUCCUCCCGCCGACUCUCAGCCACCAUCUUCCUCUACUGCACAAAGGAUUCUCCUCAUGGCAACUCACCUUGCCUUGAAGGAUGCAAG
rnacentral:lncRNA from 1 species